CCUACGGGAGGCAGCAGUGAGGAAUAUUGGUCAAUGGCCGCGAGCCUGAACCAGCCAAGUAGCGUGAAGGAUGACUGCCCUACGGGUUGUAAACUUCUUUUAUAAAGGAAUAAAGUGAGGCACGUGAGCCUUUUUGUGAGUACUUUAUGAAUAAGCAUCGGCUAACUCCGUGCCAGCAGCCGCGGUAAUACGGAGGAUCCGAGCGUUAUCCGGAUUUAUUGGGUUUAAAGGGUGCGUAGGUGGGUUGUUAAGUCAGCUGUGAAAUUUUGGGGCUCAACCGUAAAAUUGCAGUUGAUACUGGCAGCCUUGAGUACGGGAGAGGUAGGCGGAAUGCGUGGUGUAGCGGUGAAAUGCUUAGAUAUCACGAAGAACUCCGAUUGCGAAGGCAGCCUACUAAACUGCCACUGACAUUGAUGCUCGAAAGUGUGGGUAUCGAACAGGAUUAGAUACCCUGGUAGUC
rnacentral:rRNA from 1 species